CUAAGUUACUAAGAGCGCAUGGUGGAUGCCUUGGCGCCAGAAGUCGAAGAAAGACGUGGCCAGCGACGAUACGCUCCGGGGAGGUGCAAGCAACCUUUGAUCCGGAGAUCUCUGAAUGGGGAAACCCUCCGCGGUGACAAAUCGCGGAACGUCAGUGGAAAGGCUUUCGGGAAACCGGAAGAGGUACCGCUGUCGAGACAACCCAGGGAAGUGAAACAUCUCAGUACCUGGAGGAAAAUAAAUCAAACGAGAUUCCCUCAGUAGUGGCGAGCGAACGGGGAACAGCCUAAACCCAACCUAUGUUGGGUGUUGCAGGGCCUGUCCGGUUUAGAGCCGGUGAGUCAAAAAUCGCUUCGUUAGUCGAACGUGCCUGGAAAGGCCGACCAAAGAGGGUGAGAGUCCCGUAAACGAAAACGAAGCGGCUCACGAUGGGUACCUAAGUAACGCCGAGCACGUGAAAUUCGGCGUGAAUCCGGGGAGACCACUCUCCAAGGCUAAAUACUCUCUGGCGACCGAUAGUGCACAAGUACCGCGAGGGAAAGGUGAAAAGGACCCCUGACGGGGAGUGAAAAGAACCUGAAACCGUGCGUUUACAAGCAGACGAAGAGCUAUGCCCCGCAAGGGGAAUGCUCGACGUCGUGCCUGUUGAAGAAUGAUCCGGCGAGUUACUGUUGCAUGCAAGGUUAAGCACCUGGAAGGUGUGGAGCCGUAGCGAAAGCGAGUCUUAACGGGCGACAAGUAUGCAAUAGUAGACCCGAAGCCAGUCGAUCUAACCCAGGACAGGGUGAAGUCACCUUAACCGGUGAUGGAGGCCCGAAGCGUUGACAGUUGAAAAUGUCCUGCAUGAGCUUGGGUUAGGGGUGAAAGGCCAAUCGAGGCUGGUGAUAGCUGGUUCUCCCCGAAAUAGCUUUAGGGCUAGCGUGGAGCGAUGACCGUGUGAGGUAGAGCACUGGAUAGUGUAGGGCCGAAUACCUCGGUUCCGAAUCUAACCAAACUCCGAAUACAUACGGGAAAACUCCGCAGUCAGUUCACGAGGGCUAAGCUUCGUGCGCAAGAGGGGAACAACCCAGACCGUCGACCUAGGUCCCAAAAUUCAGGUUAAGUGGUAAAGGAUGUGAUUUGACUUAGACAGCGAGGAGGUUGGCUUAGAAGCAGCCAUCCUUUAAAGAGUGCGUAACAGCUCACUCGUCAAGUUGAGUCGCGCCGAAAAAGUCCGGGGCUCAAACCUGAUACCGCAGUCACGGCUGUGAGGUGGAUUCGUCCAUCUCACGGGGUAGGGGAGCGUUCCGUUGUAGGAUGAAGGCACACCGUUAGGAGUGCUGGACGAAACGGAAGUGAGGAUGUCGGAAUAAGUAGCGAUAAGGUCUGUGAGAAUCAGACCCGCCGCAAGCCUAAGGUUUCCUUGUUUAAAGUUCGUCUGAACAGGGUCAGUCGAUCCUAAGUCGAGGCCGAAAGGCGUAGAUGAUGGGCAUCAGGUUAAUAUUCCUGAACCACAUAAUGUGGGUCACACCAAGGGGGGACGCAGAAAGGUAAGCCAGCCGGCAGAAGGUUACCGGUCCAAGGUCGUAGGGAGGUUCUCCAGGCAAAUCCGGAGGGCCGUUAAUCCCGAGAGCCGAGUGCGAGCGUGUCGCAAGACAUGUGAAGCGGCCCAUCUACGCUGCCAAGAAAAUCCCCGUGGUUACUGCAUUGUGUGUCCGUACCGCAAACCGACACAGGUAGGCGAGGAGAAUAUCCUCAGGCGCGCGAGCGAACUCUCGCUUAGGAACUCGGCAAACUGGCCCCGUAACUUCGGAAGAAGGGGUGCCCGAUGCUUUAACUCCGUACAGGGGAAGGGGCGUUGGGUCUCAGUGAAUGGGGAGCCGCGACUGUUUAACAAAAACACAGCACUCUGCUGAAAUCUCAAGAUGAUGUAUAGGGUGUGAAGCCUGCCCGGUACCGGAAGGUCAUGGGGAGAGGUCAGGGUCCGCAAGGGCCCGAAGCUUUGAACUUAAGCCCCGGUAAACGGCGGCCGUAACUAUAACGGUCCUAAGGUAGCGAAAUUCCUUGUCGGGUAAGUUCCGACCUGCACGAAUGGCGUAACGACUUCCCCACUGUCUCGACUGGAGACUCAGCGAAAUUGGAGUCGCGGUGCAGAUACCGUGUUCCUGCGGCAAGACGGAAAGACCCCGUGAACCUUUACUGUACCCUGGCAUAGAACAUCUGGAAUCCUUGUGUAGGAUAGGUGGGAGCCUUUGAAGCUUGGGCGCUAGCUCAGGUGGAGGCAA
rnacentral:rRNA from 1 species